UACAGAGGUCCCAAGCGUUGUUCGGAUUCAUUGGGCGUAAAGCGUCCGCAGGUGGCACUUCAAGUCUGUCGUCAAAGACUGGGGCUUAACCCUGGAAAGGCGGUGGAAACUGAAGCGCUAGAGUGCGGUAGGGGUAGAGGGAAUUCCCGGUGUAGCGGUGAAAUGCGUAGAGAUCGGGAAGAACAUCGGUGGCGAAAGCGCUCUACUGGACCGCAACUGACACUCAGGGACGAAAGCUAGGGGAGCGAAUGGG
rnacentral:rRNA from 1 species